AACGAACGCUGGCGGCAGGCCUAAUACAUGCAAGUCGAACGCACCGCAAGGUGAGUGGCAGACGGGUGAGUAACGCGUGGGAACCUUCCUAGUAGUACGGAAUAACUUCGGGAAACCAAAGCUAAUACCGUAUACGCCCUUCGGGGGAAAGAUUUAUCGCUAUUAGAUGGGCCCGCGUAGGAUUAGCUAGUUGGUGAGGUAAUGGCUCACCAAGGCUACGAUCCUUAGCUGGUCUGAGAGGAUGAUCAGCCACACUGGGACUGAGACACGGCCCAGACUCCUACGGGAGGCAGCAGUAGGGAAUAUUGGACAAUGGGCGAAAGCCUGAUCCAGCCAUGCCGCGUGAGUGAAGAAGGCCUUAGGGUUGUAAAGCUCUUUUGGCGGGGAAGAUAAUGACGGUACCCGCAGAAUAAGCCCCGGCUAACUUCGUGCCAGCCGCCGCCGUAA
rnacentral:rRNA from 1 species